rnacentral:lncRNA from 1 species
GACAUUCGUCAUUUGCGGAGACUGGUGGAGGAAGCGACAAGCUUCAGCAGGGGCAAGGGCUGAGGUGUGCUAGGGGAAGGGAAGGGUGGUGAAUCGUCAUCGCUACACCUGACGCCGUUCUCGCCAUGGCAGGUGCAUUUCUUGGAUGAACUACCAAACAUCCACACCUUCCGGCGAUGGUCGGUGCAGGCGGCUGAGGAAGACAGGUGAAGCUUGCUGGAACCGAAUAAUGUAUAUCGAAAUCAAAUCCAAGCGUACACCAUGCUGCAACGAAGGCCUGGAACCGAAUCCCACAAAACUGUAACCUGGAACUGAUUAUCCAACUUUGGAGGUGGUAUACGAACGGUUAUAUGACAAUUGCUCUCCAUUCACCCCAAAUCAUCUCAUAUGAGCU